UACGUAGGAUGCAAGCGUUGUCCGGAAUUAUUGGGCGUAAAGAGCGCGCAGGCGGUAUGACAAGUCAGAUGUGAAAGAGGCCGGCUUAACCGGCAAGGGUCAUUUGAAACUGUCAGACUAGAGUGCAGCAGAGGAUAGUGGAAUUCCCGGUGUAGUGGUGAAACGCGUAGAUAUCGGGAGGAACACCAGUGGCGAAGGCGGCUUUCUGGACUGUAACUGACGCUGAGGCAUGAAAGCGUGGGGAGCAAACAGG
rnacentral:rRNA from 1 species